GCUUAACACUCCACUAUGUUCACCAGCUAGUCUCUAACUGUAUCUGCCUGCUAUUUGUGUUAUGAUUAGGCCUUGCCUCCUUCUUCUUCCUAGUGUUCUCCCUGUGAUUCCCUCCCCUGCUGUCUCUGUCUGUCUUGUUUGUCAUGUGCUCUGUGUGUGUUCAUGGGCGUGUCCAAUCCUGGCUCCUGUCCACCUGCAGCGUCUCCCACCUGCGGCUCAUCCAGUAAUCAACCUGUGCAGUCAAAUACUCUGGUUCAGCUCCCACUCUUAGUUCGUCAGUUUACCUCCCGUGUAUCCACCUGAGACGCUGCCCGCCUGCCUACCUGCACCCUGCCUGUCAGCCUGUCAGCAAAGCAAUGCUUACUUGUGACCUCUUUUCACGUGUUGCAAAUGUCUACAACUUCUAUGUAGACAUUUAGACACAUGUAGACACUUCUAUGUAGACAUUAUGAUUUACUGAUGCUGAUUGAUGUUUCAAUAAACAAAACACAACAAAAAAAAGUGAUUAAAAAAUCAUUGUGUAGCAGAAAUUGUCUUGACAA